UAUGGCCUGGAAAUAUAAAAAGAAAUUAAGAAAAAAGCUAGGGAUAUACUCAUCUGUUUUAUCAUACAUUAUGAUAAAAUACAUACAAAUCUAUUAUAAAAAGUUAAAAUUUCUCAAAACUUUCAAACCCAAAUACAGACUGCACAUGUACCAUUCACAGUCAAGAGAAAUGUGAGCAAACAUAAAGUAUUAAAUCAUUACUGCAUACAAUUAACUGUACAUACUGUAUUACUGCAAAAAUGUCAUAGCCAGCUCCUGUUGCUUUUGUGCUAAGCUCAGGUGUUGCAAGUAUCUGCUUAAAAUUUCAUGUCACUAAUUAUCUCUGUAUAAGCAGUUUGUGUCUCCAGUAAAUUCCAUAUGACAGUAAAAAGUGACCUCUCACUGUUCUCACAUAUUUUUCAUUAUAUUUAGUGCAAUACUGUAAACCUUGAAUAACACCAUGGGAUCUAUACAAAGUGCCAUUAGUGUUGCUGAAAGUGCUCCCAAGAAGCAGAGAAAAAUCAUGACAGGAAAAAGUUGAACUGCUUGAUGUUUACCAUAGAUGGAGGUCUGCAGCUGCGAUUGCCUGCCAUUUCAAGAUAAAUGAAUCUAGUGCAAGGCCCAUUGUUAAAAAAGAAAGAAAAUUCAUGAGGCUGUCACUGCAGCUACACCAGCAGAUACAAAUUUCCCACCAUUCUGGAUUCUGACACCCAACAGAAAGACUGUUAUUUGGCAUCAUGUGAAUUAGCCAGGAGACCUCUAAUUUCCAGCCAUUUCCUCUGGUCUGACCCCUAAACUCAGCUCAUCUGGUUUCUCGUUUCUGAGGGGACAAACACUUCCUAAAAGGCAGACCCUCUGGGGUUCUGAGGAGACCGUCCCUGACAUUGUUUUUACUUCAAGACUACAAGCGAAUGAAAAACAGCUACCUCUCACAAGAGGGCUGGAGCCCUUGAUACAGAACAGAUCUCCAACUGGCUUUUGGACUAAAAUAACUGAACCAACAAGAUAUUUUAGAGGUGAUUAUUUGUUGCAUUUCUCAAAUUAUGAUGAAUUUUAUAGACCCAUAUCUCAUAGGUAUAUCUGUCUUAAUCCUAAAUUAGGGAUUAGUACACUUUUUUUUCCCACAAAUCAUUUUAAGUGUGGAAAUAAUCCCAUAAAUCCCAUCACCCCAUAAGGUUAACUCAUCAAAAUCCUUUCAUCGAGGACUAGGAUUAUACUCUAUCCCAAAUCAAGCCAAGUAAAUAUAGAUGAUGCCAGACCACUAAACAAUGUUUUCUAGAACUCUAAAAGUGCAGAGUAAAUAUCCCUCCUUGGGCCACAUGUGUGGUCUGGUAUGAAGAAAGAGCUUUGGAGGAUGGAAUAUAAGCACUAAUGCUCACUGGCUGUGGGGUCCAGGUGAGUCACUUACACUCCCAGGAAGUCAGUGCCCAAUGUCAUGAGAACUUACUAAAGCCCAUGGCUCAUAACAGAGUAUGGUGGACAAUAAAGAGUAGCUGUAAAUUUUUAUUGGCUGGAAAACUCUUA
rnacentral:lncRNA from 1 species